UACGUAGGGGGCUAGCGUUGUCCGGAAUCAUUGGGCGUAAAGCGCGUGUAGGCGGUUCGGUAAGUCCGCUGUGAAAGUCGGGGGCUCAACCCUCGAAUGCCGGUGGAUACUGUCGGACUAGAGUACGGAAGAGGCGAGUGGAAUUCCUGGUGUAGCGGUGAAAUGCGCAGAUAUCAGGAGGAGCACCAAUUGCGAAGGCAGCUCGCUGGGACGUUACUGACGCUGAGACGCGAAAGCGUGGGGAGCAAACAGG
rnacentral:rRNA from 1 species